UACAGAGGGUGCAAGCGUUAAUCGGAGUAACUGGGCGUAAAGGGCACGUAGGCGGUUAUGCUAGUCUGAUGUGAAAGACCUGGGCUUAACCUGGGAUGUGCAUUGGAGACGGCAUAGCUAGAGUUUGGGAGAGGGAAGUGGAAUUUCCGGUGUAGCGGUGAAAUGCGUAGAGAUCGGAAAGAACACUCGUGGCGAAGGCGGCUUUCUGGCCCAAAACUGACGCUGAGGUGCGAAAGCGUGGGGAGCAAACAGG
rnacentral:rRNA from 1 species